rnacentral:misc_RNA from 1 species
AUGUCUAUGCCGAUGCUUCACCAAUGGUCAUUUCAGUUUUAGAUGGUUACAAUGUAUGUAUCUUUGCUUAUGGACAAACGGGAACGGGCAAAACGUUCACCAUGGAGGGUACAAAAGGAAACAGAGGAGUCAACUACCGGACUCUUGAAGAACUGUUUAAAAUUGUGAAGGAGAGGAAUGAAACUUUCACCUAUGACAUAUCAGUCAGUGUGCUUGAAGUCUACAAUGAACAGAUCAGGG